UACGUAGGCAGCGAGCGUUGUUCGGAGUUACUGGGCGUAAAGGGUGCGUAGGCGGUUGUUUAAGUUUGGUGUGAAAUCUCCCGGCUCAACUGGGAGGGUGCGCCGAAUACUGAAUGACUAGAGUGCGGGAGAGGAGAGUGGAAUUCCUGGUGUAGCGGUGAAAUGCGUAGAUAUCAGGAGGAACCAGCCGGUGGUGUAGACGGCUCUCUGGACCGUAACUGACGCUGAGGCACGAAAGCGUGGGUAGCAAACAGG
rnacentral:rRNA from 1 species